rnacentral:rRNA from 1 species
UACGGAGGGGGCUAGCGUUGUUCGGAAUUACUGGGCGUAAAGCGCGCGUAGGCGGCUUUGUAAGUUAGAGGUGAAAGCCCAGGGCUUAACCCUGGAAUUGCCUUUAAGACUGCAUCGCUAGAAUCGUGGAGAGGUGAGUGGAAUUCCGAGUGUAGAGGUGAAAUUCGUAGAUAUUCGGAAGAACACCAGUGGCGAAGGCGACUCACUGGACACGUAUUGACGCUGAGGUGCGAAAGCGUGGGGAACAAACAGG